rnacentral:lncRNA from 1 species
GUACUGCAGGCUUCAGCUGACCUGGACUUUCCAGAGUGUCUCUUUUGGUGAGAGACAUUCGGUGUCCCACGUGUUGUGACCUUUUCUUACGGGAACAGCUGGAGGUUGCAAACAUGGUCGAGAAAGAACUCGCAGCUGAGACCCAUCUCAGGAGGUGCCUGUCUCCUCCAGGGCCACUCAACACAUCCAAUACUGUGACACAGGCCUUCCUAACCGUCUCUGGUGACAACAGGACAGGAACAUCACAGCUGUUUAUGUGCUAUGAUUUCCUAUGUGUGCACACAGGAAUAAGACUCUCUUGCCUUGCCCACAAACCACUCUUCACUCUUGGGAUGACCUUGCUCCAGCUGGGAUCAGAAGUUCUAGAGCAUUCUGGGUAUGAAAUCAAGGCCUGUGGGGAAAAUUUUAGCACCCAGUGUCUGCCCCGGUGUGCUUAGUGUCACCCCCAUAAGCGUUGACUUCACUAUCCCCCGUGUCCUGACUCCUAUAAAGAUGUUGAGUAAGCUCUGAGGUUUCCUGCCA